rnacentral:rRNA from 1 species
GGCUCAGGACGAACGCUGGCGGCGUGCCUAAUACAUGCAAGUCGAACGCGUUUCCGUUAUUGAUUUUAGAUGCUUGCAUUUAAAUGAUUUAACACGAAACGAGUGGCGAACUGGUGAGUAACACGUGGGUAACCUGCCCUUGAAGUAGGGGAUAACACUUGGAAACAGGUGCUAAUACCGUAUAACAACCAAAACCACAUGGUUUUGGUUUAAAAGAUGGCUUCGGCUAUCACUUUAGGAUGGACCCGCGGCGUAUUAGCUUGUUGGUAAGGUAAUGGCCUACCAAGGCAAUGAUACGUAGCCGACCUGAGAGGGUAAUCGGCCACAUUGGGACUGAGACACGGCCCAAACUCCUACGGGAGGCAGCAGUAGGGAAUCUUCCACAAUGGACGAAAGUCUGAUGGAGCAACGCCGCGUGAGUGAUGAAGGGUUUCGGCUCGUAAAACUCUGUUGUUGGAGAAGAACAGGUGUCAGAGUAACUGUUGACAUCUUGACGGUAUCCAACCAGAAAGCCACGGCUAACUACGUGCCAGCAGCCGCGGUAAUACGUAGGUGGCAAGCGUUGUCCGGAUUUAUUGGGCGUAAAGCGAGCGCAGGCGGUUUCUUAGGUCUGAUGUGAAAGCCUUCGGCUUAACCGGAGAAGUGCAUCGGAAACCAGGAGACUUGAGUGCAGAAGAGGACAGUGGAACUCCAUGUGUAGCGGUGAAAUGCGUAGAUAUAUGGAAGAACACCAGUGGCGAAGGCGGCUGUCUGGUCUGUAACUGACGCUGAGGCUCGAAAG